rnacentral:lncRNA from 1 species
CAAGUUGUUAUCCAUUGAAUAUUUACACUUAGUAAUACUUUCAAAUCUUUCUAGGUUUGAUUCCUUUAACGAGUGAUGAUUUUGUUGAUGGUUUGGGAUAUUGCAGGGUUAGUUUUGUAUUGUCUACACUGUAUUGUUUUCGAUUUCUCAAAUACCGAAAUAAAUACGAACCACUAUUUAUAGCUCCUCCAAAUAAAAGAUCACUGGUGUCUAUCAUGAAAGGAAACUGCAUUAUUUCCUCGCUCUGAUUUUACUGCUAGUUGAUCACCAUGACCAGCCGUGCGGUAUAGUAAUUCUUGACAUUUACCUUCUCUUAAGCCAGUUGCAGACGAGCAAGUUUUCUAUGACAGAUUUUUAUGUGACAAGUUUUAUUUGCUCGUCUGUACGCGCAACUUUGACAAUUUUUUCUAUGACAAGUGCACUUGUUCAGUAGCGGCUAGCAUGCUAGCUUUUGAACAAGUGCACUUGUCAUAGAAAAAAUUGUCAAAGUAAAAAUUUUGUUCGUCUGUAUGGUUCAGCAAAGAAAACUUGUCAAAGUAAUCUGAGCAUUUGAUGUGAUUGGCCAGCUGGCUACUAAUAAAUUGUCAAAGUAAACUUGUUGACACGUUCACACCAGUAAAUAAAACUUGUCAUAUGAAAACUUAUCAUAUGAAAACUUAUCAUAAAUAAUUAUUAAAUAUACACACAUGCACUUGGCAAAUACAGGCGUAAAAACGCACAGCUUGUAACAAGUCUGCAAACAAGUUGUUACAAAUCUGUUCACAAGCUGUCAACAAGUUGUGUUCGCACUGCUUGUUCCCAGUUUGUUGGAACAAGCUGUUAACAACUUUCUGUGUUGGUGUUGUGUACUCAGGUGAAUAAUAUGAUGUUUGUGAUAUUACUCUGAGUGUAUAUCCACACCGGGCGAGCUUGAAAAAUAUGCCCGGCCAGGGAGGUCGUAGGUUCGAUUCCCACCGUGGCCGGGCAUAUUUUUCAAGCUCGCCCGGUGUGGAUAUACACUCAUAGUAACAUCACAAGCAUCAUGUUAAUAACUUGUAACAAGCUUGGUGACAUUAUCAAGCCUUGUUACAAGACUGUGCCAACAAGUUUGUUACAGCCAUGAUAUAACAAGGAUGUUACAAGGUUGUCAACACAUGCAUGGUUGUAACAAUCUUGUUAUAUCAAGCAUGUAACGGUCUUGUCAGAACAACCUUGCAACAAGUCUGAUAAUUUCGACAAGGUUGUUACAAGUUGUGAACAAGUUGUUCCAAAUCUGUUGACAACUUGUAACAAGCAAUGCGCAUACAGUACAUCUUGUUGACGGCUUGUUGGCAGACUUGUUACAAGAUGUGAGAUUUUUGCGUGUGUAAAACUUGUCACAUAAAAACUUGUCGUAGAAAACUUGCUCGUUAAUCCAUUCUUACUUUUAAGAAUUUGUAAUAUUCAUGAGAGUAUAAGAGUCGCGUUCGUACCUUGUCAUUUUGGAUCUUCAAUGGACCAUUUGCAUUAUAGACUAAAUUUUGAUCUAGACAAAAAUUUCAUCACAGCUUGAAAGAGCACCACAAAAUUAGUAAUAUUCCAAAGUUUCGCUGCGAAAUGUUGUAAAAUGCGGAUAAUAAUAUAGCCUUGCGAAGUUUGCCGUUUUUCAGUCAUUUUGUAUUACGCACGGGAAAUUGACAGCCCAAUCUGAUGUUGGGCAUCAAUUUCCCGUUUGUAAUGCAAAAUGACUGAAAAUUGCAAAUUUCGCAAGGCUAUAUUAUCCGCAAUUUACAACAUUUCGCAACGAAACUUUGGAAUAUUACUAAUUUUGUGAUGCUCUUUCAAGCUGUGAUGAAAUUUUUGUCUAGAUCAAAAUUUAGUCUAUAAUGCAAAUGGUCCAUUUAUUAACUUUUAUCACUUAUGUAACUGUAUUGAUAAUAUAUUGCAUGCAUUAUUGAUCCAAAUAAAAUUGUGAAAUUAGAAAAUUAAAUUGAAAUGUAUUGGUGUUGUAUUAAUUAGGACUGUACUUGUGAAGAGUUUUGUGAUGAAUGUUCGGUCGGAUUAACAUUGGAUGUAAAAUGUAUAGAUGAACAGACACGUCAUGUGACCACGCGU